GAGCAAUUACAACAUAUGUAUAUCUGAGAAACGAUUCCUAUUUACCGAGAUCAACCGAUGGAAGCUGCUAUAGGAUCUAUCCAAACCAGAAAUUCAACAAUGCUGCGGUGGGCGGUGCACUACAGAGCGGAGAAAUGGCAAUGGCACUGGCAUUGCCACUAGCAGUGGCGCUGGGUGGUUGAAGUAAAAUGUGGCUCACUUAUUGGGCCAAUCUCAUUUAAUGCUCGCCACUUUUGCGGCCAACAAAGCAGAAAUACUCGUAGUGGGGAGUGGCACGAGAGCAGAAAGUAAAAAGUAAUAAGGGUAGCGGUAUGGGUAAGGGUAGAGGUAGAGUAAGGGAGAGUAGAAAUACUCGAAAAUUUAACCAAAAUAUUUCUGUUUGCAUAUUUGCACUCCAUUCCCAGAUAAUUGUUUUCGCUAGGUCGACAAUAGAAAUAAAUUCUGGCAACAAUUGCCACAACCAGCAGCCCUGGGGAGCGCUGCCUGUGCUUGUGUGUGAGUGGGCCACUUGUAAUUGCAACUAUAAUUUGUAAAAAUUAUCGCCAAUGUUAUGAAUGCAUUUCAUUUUGCCAGACCGGCGCGCCCGCCGAUGCUCAAUUUUAAUGGAACACACGGCGUAUGCGUGAUAUCAAUAUGAACACAUUCUGCAUUCAGGACGACCCUUGAAGCGGCGAUAAAUGCAAUGUUUCCAUAAUUUAUGAAUCGCAACGGACAGAUGGGGCAAAUAUUUGCUAGCACUUUUCGUGCAUUACAUGACUAAAGCGGAAUAAAGCAAAAGGGGACUGGACUCCGAACAGAUGUCGCAAAAACUUUAAACUCCAACUGGAAUCUAAUCCUGCAGCCAGCUGCACUCCAACUCACCCGCCAAUCGAGAAAAUCCUGCACAAAAUGUUCACAAGCCAUUCAAGCACUUUGACAAAACAACUCGAGCUGACCUCGCACCCCGCACCCCGACACGCUUCAAUAGUCUUGGUUCCAGCACCCAAUCCUUGUCGCAUUCCUGGUCGUGGCCCAUUCAGUGAGUGUUUGGAUGGCAGGAAAUUUUUGUUUGACUCUCAAGUGGUUAUUGUUGUCAGGCCCGUCAUAAUGCAGAGACGGGCGACACGGCGGUAUAGCGAUGAUACGAGAUAUGCGAUACGUGGCAUGAUAAAUGAUGGCGCUCUCUAAAUAAGGCUUAGUGCCAGACUCGUAUGUAUGACUAUGAACUAUGAACUAUGAACUUAUGGCAUAUUUGCUCGCCUUCAGCAGCAAUCAACGCACUUAGCGUUGAGUGGGCUUACUCUGGUCGGAUGGAUGAUUUCAAUGCGAGUCUGAGAGCCACUUGUUGUCGUCUCCAAAUGAAGCGGCGCCGUUGACACAACAGGAGCCCAACCACUUGCAGCAUCAGUGAUAGCAGGUCGUCCCACAUGUGCAGGACUUGUGCGAGCAUGAACUUCCUUCCACUUCCGGCAACUGGUGGCGAGAAGCUUACUCCCGACAACAUACUGAUGAAAUCAGUCUGAAACCUUGAACCUUAUUCAGUUUCUACGAAUACAGCCGAAGCUAUAUGUAUCAAAUUUAUCCACUACAGAAAGAAGAGAGAAAGAAAGAGAAAACAUGUACAUAUAGACAUACAUAUGUGUAUGCAUCAUCGGUGACACCAGAUAUAGUACACCCUGUAUAAGGGCAGUUCGUGCCAAAAAACCUUAAACGUCAUUUCCAUAUACUUUUGUCCCGAUAUUGAAAGCUUAGUUUAAGUAGUUUUAGUUUUCAUUACCGUUGAUUACCUAUUCAAAUGAGAGCGUUAUUUUUGUAUCUCCUAUAAGAAUGAUUAUAAAAGCUUUUCCUCAAAGUUGUUCUAACGUAUUGAACUAUCUAAAAGCAUUCCACGAAAAUAGUCCGAUUCUUGGCUAAUUAUUAGCCCGGAAUUUGGUAGCGUAAAGUACUUUAAAUCCCUGAUCGUCUUAAAUUACAAAAAACAGGAAAGAUUUUUAUAAUUAUUAACUUGGAAAACUAACACUGAAUAUUUCAUAUAUACAUACAUAUGCGAAAUAAAUGUUCUACAAAUAAUCAUACUCGAUAUGCAGUCUUGCAAUUUUGUACCCCAACCUGAAAACCACUUCUGUUUUUUGUAACGUGACGUCUGGUCAUAUUUCGGAAUUAGAUUUGAAAUUAAUAUUGGCGCCAAUGGAAUAAAAUGACAAGAUAUGGCAGCUCUUUUUUACCUACACUUGUGUGUGCAAACCAGUAGGAUAAGAUAAUUUGGUUGUUUUGGUUUUAUAAGAGAGAGAAAAGUUUUAUCGUAUGGUAUCUACAGGCGCACAAGAAAGUUUUAAAAAAGGGAUAUCGGUGAAAGAGUAAAAUAUUUUUCAAAAUGUUGCGCAACUUUUCGAAAAUGAACCAAAUGUUGCUAAGCGCUUGUUGCUACAAAUUUGCUACAUGGUGGCACUUGCCAUACUGUAUAUAUGUAGAUGUGCCAGUUCAUACACCAAGCAUGUCGCAAACUCAAUUGUUUAUUCCUUUUGGGAGCAUAUUUCAUGAUAUAUUUCCCCGGAUAGGCGGCCCGAGGCUUUAACCUCCACUUUUACGUGUCCUGCGCCGCUCUAGGGACUUUUACCACUUUGAGUAAGUUGGCGCGCGCGCCCUCUGUUUGAACCAGUCGUCCUCCGGGGGCCUUACCCGUUUGGGGGUUGCCGGAUCGAUACUGCAUCCACGAGCGCGUGCAUCGCCCCAGCAGGUGGUACUUUUUAUGACGUAUUGAGCGUGCUUCGCAUGUUCAUACAUUGCCGACAUCGUCUUCCCUCCUGCAUCAUGCUUUACCUCAUCGGCUUUGAUCGGUUGGUCGAGACCCUCUCUGACCACAAACUGCUACGCCGCGAUCGCGCCCCUCUUA